rnacentral:lncRNA from 1 species
CUGCAGUCUGCAGAGGUCUGGAAAGGGACCUUUCCAGACCUCUGCAGAUUGCAGGACUCUGCCCGUCAGCUCAAUCAGCCAUCCAUAAAAUGUCCUCCCAAGACCAGCAGCAUGAGCACCACCUAAAAUGUACAUUCUCAGGUAAUCCCAAACAAGUAAAAUCUGAGAAAUUGUCACCAAGAGGAUCCUAGGGAGACGUGACAACUCAAGGCAAUGUGGUGUCUUGGAUGGGGAGGAAGGAAGAGGAGGGCAUUGUGUAAACACUAAGGAGGCCUCAAUAAGGUAUGGGCCUUAGAUCACGGCAAUAUAUCCAGUCAGUUCAUCGCUCCAGUCAGUUCAAAGGUGCCAUCCUAAUGAACCAUGUUGGCAAUGGGGGAAGCCAUGUGGGGCAUUAGGGAGCUCCAUGGACUUUAGAAAGCUAUUCUAAAAUGAAUUAUAUAUUUUAAUGCACACUCUCAGGCCCCAUGCCCGGUCUGCUCAAUCAGAAGCUGAGUCUGGGGCCCACCCACCUGAGGAUUAACCACGCCUUCAGGGGAUGGUAGUAUCACUAAGACCAACUAGUCACCAGAGACUCCCAAUGCCUCUGUAGUUCAAGAGUCAAAUCGGGAAUUUAGAGGUUGCCAAAUUUAGGCCACAAAAUACACCAUCUGGGGCAGGGAGAUAAAUAUGCAGAGCAGAGAGGAUUCCGGGGGCAGUGAAAAUACCCCCCAGGAUACUCCAGUGGUGUGUACUCAUGAGGCCUUUGUCCAAACCCACAGCACGUACAACACCCAGAGCGAGCCCUAAUGAACACUAUGGACUCUGGGUGGUGGUGAUAUGUCCAGGCAGCCUCACUGAUGGAACAGGUGCACCACUCUGCUGGGGAUGCUGGGCAGGGAGAGGCUGUGUUGUGUGAGGAGGGAGUCUAGGGGAACUCUGUGCUGUCCACUGAAUUUCCCUGUGAACCUAAACAGCUCUGAAAAAGAAAGUCUAGAGCCAGGCGUGGUGGCUCACCCCACACCAGCCUGGGCAACAAGAAAUCCCAUCACUACAAAAAAUUAUUUCAAAAAUUUGAAUAUCAUAAUUAUAAUAAAGUCUAAUAAAAACAAUACAGGGCACAGCGGCUCAUGCCUGUAAUGCCAGCACUUAAGGAGGCCGAGGCAGUUGGAUCACUUGUACUUCGGAGUUCAAGACCAGCCUGGGCAACAUAUCAAAAUUCCAUCUCUACAAAAACCACAAAAAUUAGCCAAGUUGGUGGCGUGCUCCUGUAGUCUCGGCUGCUCGGGAGGCUUAGAUGGGAGGAUUGCUUGAGCCUGGAAGGUCGCGGCUGCAGUGAGCGGUGAUUAUGCCACUGAACCUCAGCCUGCGUGACAGAGGGAGACGCCAUCUCAAAAAAAAAAAAAAAGAAAGAAAGAAAAAAGAAAACGAAAACUCUACAGGAUACCCAAUAAAAGCUGAGUUUCAGAUAAAUAAAUAAUUUAGAACAUGCUGAUACUAAAGAAAAUUGUUUAUCUGAAACUCAAAUUUCAUCAGGCAUUAUGUAUUUUAUAUGGCCACCCUCCUUGGACAACUGUACUUUACAGCAAAACAGUGGGUAACCCCAUGUCAAUCAGGAAACUCAGUUUUCCGUUAUACAAUAUUGAAAACUAAUAAGAUGAUCGUUUAUUGGAAGAAC